GUCAGUGAUGAAACUCUGGAAUAGGAAGUGCCGUCCGAUGCGAUAACUGACGAUUUUUUUCAAUCCACUUCUCUGAGA